rnacentral:rRNA from 1 species
CCUACGGGGGACAGCAGUGGGGAAUAUUGGGCAAUGGGCGCAAGCCUGACCCAGCAACGCCGCGUGAAGGAAGAAGGCUUUCGGGUCGUAAACCUCUUUUAAGAGGGAAGAGCAGAAGACGGUAUCACUUGAAUAAGCUUCGGCUAACUACGCGCCAGAAGCCGCGGUAAUACGUAGGUGGCAAGCGUUGUACGGAGUUACUGGGUGUAAAGGGCGGGUAGCCGGGCUGACAAGUCAGAUGUGAAAUUCCGGGGCUCAACCCCGGACGUUCAUUUGAAACUGUUGGUCUUGAGUACCGGAGAGGGGGGCGGAAUUCCAAGUGUAGCGGUGAAAUGCGUAGAUAUUAGGAGGAACACCAGUGGCGAAGGCGACCUGCUGGACGACAACUGACGGUGAGGCGCGAAAGCGUGGGGAGCAAACAGGAUUAGAUACCCGGGUAGUC